rnacentral:rRNA from 1 species
GCGAUUUAAUCGUUGGAUUGCGGGGGAUACUGUCUGGCUAGGGGGCGAGAGAGGCCGACGGUAUUCUCGGGGUAGGGGUGAAAUCCUAUAAUCCCGGGAGGACCACCAGUGGCGAAGGCUGUCGGCUAGAACGCGCUCGACGGUGAGGGAUGAAAGCUGGGGGAGCGAACCGGAUUAGAUACCCGGGUAGUCCCAGCUGUAAACGAUGCAGGCUAGGUGUUAGGGCGGCCACGUGCCGCUCUAGUGCCGCAGGGAAGCUGUUAAGCCUGCCGCCUGGGGAGUACGGCCGCAAGGCUGAAACUUAAAGGAAUUGGCGGGGGAGCACCACAAGGGGUGAAGCUUGCGGUUUAAUUGGAGUCAACGCCGGAAAUCUCACCGGGGGCGACAGCAGGAUGAAAGCCAGAUUAAAGGUCUUGCCAGACAAGCUGAGAGGAGGUGCAUGGCCGUCGCCAGUUCGUGCCGUGAGGUGUCCUGUUAAGUCAGGCAACGAUCGAGACCCGCAUCCCCCGUUGCUACCAGCCUCGCGCUGGGCACACUGGGGUGACUGCCGCCGAUAAGGCGGAGGAAGGAGCGGGCCCGGCAGGUCAGUAUGC